CAACAUGAAUCUAAUAAAAUUCAACUACCCUUGUAUGCUGCCGUCGCCUUUACGAGUCCUUCAUUUCUUCCCCUUUUCCUCAAUCUCUUCACCCUCCCAUGCACAUAAGUCCCCAUUUACCUCCUUGGAUACAGGGAUUUUCCUUUGACUCCAACUGCACCGUUUCCUCUAAUAAAAUACAAAUCCAUCAGAAACACAAACUUUUUGCUAACCAUCACACGCAAAUGUAUCGUAGGCAACAGGCAACAACCCCUUAAACACCCUUAAUUUAUUCCUUCCCCAAACUAACUUCACUUUCACGUAAACAUUUUCACAAACACAAAAAGAGCAACCACCCCACCAUUCUGAUCCACUGCACAAACCCAAAAUCACCAUCCCAAAACCCUUCAAGUCCAAAUCUUUCUUCAAAUUCUCAACACCCUUUUGCCCAUUCUUCACAAUGCAAUCCCAAUUUGACUCACCCAAUAACAACAACAAUAACACUAUGAACACACUGAGUCAAAUGUUUCAGAACAUUUUCUCAGACAACAGUAACAUCAUGCUUGCUGCUAUCAUUUCCCUGCUCCUAGUUAUCCUCUUUGUUCUGCUUCUUCAUCUCUAUGCAAAAUGGUUCUUAGCUCAGGCACAUGUUCAGGCACAAGCACGCCGCCGCCGUCGCCGGAGAACCACCGUGACUGUCUCCGACGUGCUUGGCCCUGCACGGUUCCACCACUUUCACAGCUUCAACAUUGAGGACUCACCCUUGUCUAGCUGCCACACCAAAGGGCUUGACUCUGCUAUUGUUGCUGCGAUUCCCCUGUUCGUGUAUGAAAAACAGAGCAAGGUGGAACAGGAACUAGAAUGUGUGAUUUGUUUGAGUGCUUUUGAGGAUGGUGAAAUGGGAAGGUGUUUGCAGAAAUGUGGACAUGGGUUUCAUGUGGAGUGCAUUGACAUGUGGUUGGGUUCUCAUUCCAACUGCCCCAUUUGCAGAGCUCCCAUUGUGGGUGGGGUUGUUGAGAAUGAUUCUUCUUCAGGGGAUGAUGCUUCUUCUGGUUUUGUUGAGAUUGUGAUUGGUGGUGGUUCAAGUUCUGAGAUUAGAGAAAGUGAACCUGGGAAUGAGAAUUCAGGGGUGAGUCAGAGUGUGAGUGAUUCUAGAACAGAAACUUCAUCGUCCUUGUUUGGGUGUUCUUUGAAGACAAUGCUGAGCAAAGUUUUCCCAUCUUCCAAUGUAAAUGAAUUGCAAAAUAGAGAUGUGAGUCAUGUCAGUGUCUAGUUUAAUACACUAUUGAAAAAUGAAAUGAGCAACCUCAAUUGCUUCUGCACACUGCACAGGUCUGGCUAUGGGAGGUAGCAAGUGUGAAGACUAGUAGCUGCCUCAAAACCAGAGGAAAAUGACAGAAGACAGCACUUAGUAUAGUAGGAUUAUAGGAUACCACUUAGUAGUGCUGUGUUGGUCACUCAUAUGUCAUGGUACACUCUUAACGGCAAUUGAUUGUUCUGAUUUCUGAAGUGUAAAGUUGUGUUGUUUUCUGUCAUGAUCAUGUAGUCCAAGAACAUGUGUUGUCACUCA